CAGCAGCCGCGGUAAUACGUAGGGCGCAAGCGUUAUCCGGAAUUAUUGGGCGUAAAGAGCUCGUAGGCGGUUUGUCGCGUCUGCCGUGAAAGUCCGGGGCUCAACUCCGGAUCUGCGGUGGGUACGGGCAGACUAGAGUGAUGUAGGGGAGACUGGAAUUCCUGGUGUAGCGGUGAAAUGCGCAGAUAUCAGGAGGAACACCGAUGGCGAAGGCAGGUCUCUGGGCAUUAACUGACGCUGAGGAGCGAAAGCAUGGGGAGCGAACAGGAUUAGAUACCCAGGUAGUCCAUGCCGUAAACGUUGGGCACUAGGUGUGGGGGACAUUCCACGUUUUCCGCGCCGUAGCUAACGCAUUAAGUGCCCCGCCUGGGGAGUACGGCCGCAAGGCUAAAACUCAAAGGAAUUGACG
rnacentral:rRNA from 1 species